rnacentral:lncRNA from 1 species
CUCAACAACAAAACAGUUUGGAUGUCAGGGCUAAAGCCCUCCAGUAUCACAGCUCUCACACUUAACUUGCAGUGUUCACGCCAGGCAGGUGAACUCUGCCCUGGUUUUAAAUUAUUUCUAAUUUCUUUACUUCUAGCCGUGGAAGAGCCAGGUGAUGGUGGCACACACUUUUAAUCCCAGCACUCAGGAGGCAGAGAGGCAGGCAGAUCUCUGAGUUCAAGGCCAGCCUGGUCUACAAAGUGAGUUCCAGAACAGCAAGGGGGGUUACACAGAGAAACCCUGUCUUGGAAAAAAAUAAGCCAAAAAAAAAAAAAAAAAGCCACAAGCUUCCCAUGUAUAGCUGGAGCAGUUCAGGAACCAGGACCAUGUUGGUGGCCCCUGGCAAAUCGCACAGACCUGCUUUUCCAGAUGCCUCCAGUGAUGCUAAAGUUUCUCAUUCUCCAAAUAGCUACUCUGCUUCUCAGGUCUUCCAGGAUACUGGUCACACUGUUGAAGGGAUGUCACUGUGGGUAACAUGGAUACCCCUGGAACUCCAGAAUUCACAGACUCUUCAAUAGGAAAUGACAGGUCCCAGUGAGAUCAAGACCUCAAGCCAAAUUCAGAAGCCAGACCCUUCCCUCCAGCCUUCCAGAACUGAAGAGCUAUUCCCUAGAGAGUGCCCACCUUGGAGAUAUACCAAGGUCUGGAGGCAUGCCUUCAGUUUGGUGGACUACCUAAAUGAAUGGCUACUUCAAAAGAAAACAGCAGCAAGCACCCAUUUAUGGAGGCCUCCUCUGGACAACAAAUGAGAUGUUGUAUUGCUCAUCUGGUUACUUGGGAGUUUGGCCAGAAUCACCAGUUCUUUUUCUGGCCUACCUUACAAACCUGGAGAUGCCCUGGUGAUUCUUGGAGCUGAGAUGAAAAUCAGAG